GAGAGGAUAGCAUGUCUUGGGGGUAUGAUAUAAACUGCUAAACUUCCCUGUUAUUGUAAUGGUGAGAGGUUAGCAUGUCUUGGGGGUAUGAUAUAAACUGCUAAACUUCCCUGUUAUUGUAAUGGUGAGAGGUUAGCAUGUCUUGGGGGUAUGAUAUAAAAUGCUAACCUCCCCUGUUAUUGUAAUGGUGAGAGGUUAGCAUGUCUUGGGGGUAUGAUAUAAACUGCUAACCUCCUCUGUUAUUGUAAUGGUGAGAGGUUAGCAUGUCUUGGGGGUAUGAUAUAAACUGCUAACCUCCCCUGUUAUUGUAAUGGUGAGAGGUUAGCAUGUCUUGGGGGUAUGAUAUAAACUGCUAACCUCCCCUGUUAUUGUAAUGAGAGGUUAGCAUGUCUUGGGGGUAUGAUAUAAACUGCUAACCUUCUCUGUUAUUGUAAUGGUGAGAGGAUAGCAUGUCUUGGGGGUAUGAGAUAAAAUGCUAACCUCCCCUGUUAUUGUAAUGGUGAGAGGUUAGCAUGUCUUGGGGGUAUGAUAUAAACUGCUAACCUCCCCUGUUAUUGUAAUGGUGAGAGGUUAGCAUGUCUUGGGGGUAUGAUAUAAACUGCUAACCUCCUCUGUUAUUGUAAUGGUGAGAGGUUAGCAUGUCUUGGGGGUAUGAUAUAAACUGCUAACCUCCUCUGUUAUUGUAAUGGUGAGAGGUUAGCAUGUCUUGGGGGUAUGAUAUAAAAUGCUAACCUUCCCUGUUAUUGUAAUGAUGAGAGGUUAGCAUGUCUUGGGGGUAUGA